GGCAGGAGGAUCUAUCUAUGGUUUUUGCACUAGCAAGCGUGGGCUUUGUUCCUUGCUUUUGGCAGUCUAGCAUGUCUUGGGCCCCUAUCGUACGCUGUUGGCAUUGCUUAUCAAAAUGCAUUCGGUUCAGGAUUGUCACACGGUAGCCAUAAUCCUGGGCUAGGCUUUUCAAUAAUAGUGAAUAACAUUAUCUUCAUUGUGCUUGGCUUUGUCAUCGGGUACCCACUUGCAUCAGCUCCAGUUAAGGUGAUUCAAGGCCUGUGGAGAAAUGACUUAGUGGCACUAAGAGGUGCAUGUCCAAAUUGUGGGGAAGAGCUCAGUCAUUGAGAUAACAGUCUCAAGACUUUCUCUGGAUUAUUUUCCAAUGUGGACAUUAAGGGCUCAGGCACUUGGAGCUAAAUUCACAUUUUACAAUUCCUUGUUGUGUGUACAGGUACAUCAAUCACUGAUCAGAGCAGAAUGCACUAGUUUGUGUGGCAUUGCUUCCCCAUUGGUAUCCAGUUACAAGGGGCAUAUCAAGAGGAUGGUGACGAAUAAGAGGAGCUAAUCUUAGCUAUAUUUGGAUAUGGAUGCUUUCAUAGGGCCCAAAAAUGUACAUGUAGUAUCUGCAGCUAACACCUAUGUACAGGUUUGUUUUUACGUGAUUAUAUCUCCUUUUAUUUAAAUGAAGACUUCAAUUCAAGUUUUAUAAAUUUAAAUAGUUACAGAACAUUUUAUGGAGGGAAUUCAUUAAAGCCUUCAUCAAUUUCCAUUUUCUUAUAUAGAUGAGGGUAUUGACAGCAUUUUCUCCUGUAGGGAUAAAUCUUGUUAAUUAGGUUGUAGUUUCAUUUACUUAAGCUGGAAAAUGUAAUGGUGUCAUUUGGCUUGAAUGAUGUCUUUACAUUGAAUUUUUGAUGAGCUAGCUCAGAUUUAGCAUUGAGAUUUUAGGUGGAUAUCUUUUUUACUUGUUCAUUCAAUGAGCUCAUUUUUUUUUUUAUGUAGGUUGUCAUCCUUCCUAUACAAUAGCUAUUAGACAAGAUUGCAUUUUACGUUCAUUGUUCAAAUAUAAAAUCAAUAUCUGCUCUACUAGAUUUAAUUGAUGGCUAUCUAAUUAAAUA